AUUGAACGCUGGCGGCAGGCUUAACACAUGCAAGUCGAGCGGAGAUGAGGUGCUUGCACCUUAUCUUAGCGGCGGACGGGUGAGUAAUGCUUAGGAAUCUGCCUAUUAGUGGGGGACAACAUUCCGAAAGGAAUGCUAAUACCGCAUACGUCCUACGGGAGAAAGCAGGGGAUCUUCGGACCUUGCGCUAAUAGAUGAGCCUAAGUCGGAUUAGCUAGUUGGUGGGGUAAAGGCCUACCAAGGCGACGAUCUGUAGCGGGUCUGAGAGGAUGAUCCGCCACACUGGGACUGAGACACGGCCCAGACUCCUACGGGAGGCAGCAGUGGGGAAUAUUGGACAAUGGGGUGAACCCUGAUCCAGCCAUGCCGCGUGUGUGAAGAAGGCCUUAUGGUUGUAAGGCACUUUAAGCGAGGAGGAGGCUACUGAGACUAAUACUCUUGGAUAGUGGACGUUACUCGCAGAAUAAGCACCGGCUAACUCUGUGCCAGCCGCCGCCGUAAGAC
rnacentral:rRNA from 1 species